GACGAACGCUGGCGGCGUGCCUAAUACAUGCAAGUCGAACGCUGAAGGAGGAGCUUGCUUCUCUGGAUGAGUUGCGAACGGGUGAGUAACGCGUGGGUAACCUGCCUGGUAGCGGGGGAUAACUAUUGGAAACGAUAGCUAAUACCGCAUAAUAUUGACUAUUGCAUGAUAGUCAGUUGAAAGGUGCAACUGCACCACUACCAGAUGGACCUGCGUUGUAUUAGCUAGUUGGUGGGGUAACGGCUCACCAAGGCGACGAUACAUAGCCGACCUGAGAGGGUGAUCGGCCACACUGGGACUGAGACACGGCCCAGACUCCUACGGGAGGCAGCAGUAGGGAAUCUUCGGCAAUGGACGGAAGUCUGACCGAGCAACGCCGCGUGAGUGAAGAAGGUUUUCGGAUCGUAAAGCUCGGUUGUAAGAGAAGAACGAGUGUGAGAGUGGAAAGCUCACACUGUGACGGUAUCUUACCAGAAAGGGACGGCUAACUACGUG
rnacentral:rRNA from 1 species